UCUGUCUUCCAAAAUCCCUAACCCUAUCGUGCCUUCCUCUCUUUUUUUCCCAAUUCCAAAAUCAAGCUGUCUGCCUGUCUCCACCAAAUCACCGAUCCACCUCCACCGUCAAGACCUCCACCGAUCCACCUCCGGUCCUCCACCCAAUUCCAGAAUCAAGCAUUUAAGGGUUUGUUUAUUCCCGAAUCGCCAACAAAAUCGUAUUUAAGGUAAACCGUUUGUUUAUUCUUUAAUGUUCAAUUGUUCAUAACUUCAUAUGAAUUUUUAUGUUAAUUAUUUUGAUUUUUGGGUAAUAAUGUAGCUAAUUUUAUUCGUUAAUGUCUGUGGAAAGAAAUCUCUCUAGAUAUUAUAUAUGUUAAAAGUUGCGUGAUCCUCAUAAGCGUUUUCAACAAACAUAAUAGCCCCUAUAAGUAAAUACAAAUGCUAAAUGAUACCUGAAUGAAAGUAGUGUAGGAUCUUAUGAGAAUAUCAGAGAACUGAUCGGGUGUAUAGAUUCUGUUAACUAGAGGAUUGAUGUAGUAGUUCUAAAUAUAAUCACUGCUUCUUGCACUCAUAAGAUGUAUGGCACCAAAGAUUAUGCUGUUGGCUCCAUUAGUAGAGAUAUUUGAACCUUGUUUGUUUCAACUGGAUUCUUCUCACUUUCUUCAAUGGAAUCCAAACCCAAAUCUUCAUUUCUAUUUGAAUAUGUUUUUGCAGCCCUUUUAUGAACUUGAGAUCUUUGCUUCCUCAUAAGAAUUGGGUUUUUCUCAUUUCCAUCAGAUCUUCCUUUCUUGACCUGAACCGGACUCUUCUUCUUAAUCCCAUUAUCAACAACAGCCAAGCUCAAAUCUUGACAAUGUUCCAUGGAUCUUCCUUUAGCUACUACCUUAUUUGGGUUCUUCUUGAAGCUAUCAAAGCUUUCAUUUUUCCAAGUCUUUCUCUUGCUACCACCGACACUUUGUCCUUUCUACAAUCUUUUAUCACCAUCACCAUUGAUGUUUUCUUGUUCUUCAUCUUCAUCUUCUCCAUUGAAAACCUUGAUUCCACCUCUAAACUCAUCGCUCUUCAUUCUAGUUUCCCAUACCGGCCCAGCUGCAACAACAUUGCUUUAACACCUAGUCUUCUGUAACUCAAAUCCAUCCUUUUUCUUUCCAGUUUAUUACCUUUUCUGCUUAAUUCAUAAUUUAAGCCAUAAUCUUGAUUUGGAAUUUCAGUUGAGUUAGCAUGUGUUGGCAAUACACAUGUUCUAAUUUAUGCAGUUUGAAUUUCAUUCAAGGUAAAGAAGUUUGUCUAUGUGUUCUUAGCAGAUUUUAAUUUAAUGUAUUUUUGUUGUAUUUUGCUUAAUUUAUGCGUUUGAAUUUUUUAAGAAAUCAUUAACAAUGGAUCCUUUCAGUUACUUUUUAAGAUACUUUCUUUCUAAAUGUUUAAAUUUUAAUUUAGCUUACAAUUUAUAUUUUGUUAUAAAAUUAAAUAUGUUGAUGGAUUAAUGUAUGAAUAUUAUGGUUUGUUGUUUAUUGCUAUAAAAUUAAGUAUGUUUAAAUAUUUUGUUAUAAAAUUUAGGUGACAGGAUAGAAUUGGAAGUGAUAAAAUUAGACUUAUAGCAAUGAUGGCCAGGGAGUUGGCAUUAAUAGCCGAGGUUGAGAGUUGAGAAUAAUGAACUACCUAUGGGAGAUUCGAGAAUAUUGUUAGUUUGUUACUGAUAUUACAAAGGUUGUAAUCAGGUUGUAAAUCUGGGCUGUAAAUUUGGGCCAAAAAGAACUAGUCAAGGCCUAUACUCAUAGCUCUGAGUUUCGAACAAAGUAGUUAGAUGCGAUAAAUGCAUGCUUCUCUCAAGACUAAUACAUACUUAUACCAAUUUAAUUCAAUUCAUAAUGUUUUGACUGAUACAAAAUGUUAGAUUUUACUAACAAUUAAUAAUUUGAUAAUUUUACUAACAAUUAAUACAAUUAACAAUUAAUAAUUUUACUAACAAAAUGUCAGAUUUUACAAAAUGUUUUGACUGGUAGUAACAAUUAAUAAUUUGAUAUAAUUUGAUAAUUUUACUAACAAUUAGUACAAUUAACAAUUAAUAAUUUUACUAACAAAAUGUUAGAUUUUACAAAAUGUUUUGAGUGGUAGUAACAAUUAAUAAUUUGAUAAUUUUACUAACAACUAAUACAAUUAACAAGCAAUAAUUUUACUAACAAAAUGUUAGAUUUUACAAAAUGUUUUGACUGGUGUAACAAUUAAUAAUUUUACUAUCAAAAUGUUAGAUUUUACAAAAUAUUUUGACUGGUAGUAACAAUUAAUAAUUUGAUAUAAUUUGAUAAUUUUACUAACAAUUAAUACAAUUAACAAUUAAUAAUUUUACUAACAAAAUGUUAGAUUUUACAAAAUGUUUUGACUGGUACAAAAAAAUAUAAUUUGAUAUAAUUUUAAUAACAAUUAAUUUUAAUAAAAAUUGUUUUUAAUUUUAAUAAAAUAUAAUUUUAAUUUUAAUCAAAAAACGGGCCGGGCCCGGUUCCAUAUUUUUUUCCCCGGGCCAGGCCUGGAAAAAAGCUCAGGCCCAUGGACACCUCUAAUUCUCACCCUCCUUACUUUUUAAAUUUACAAAAAAUACUCUAUUUUUUGCAGUACCACCCUCACUCUCUGGCCUAUUUACACUCGUAACCCUUUUAUUUUUUUAAACAUUCGAUUUAAUCCGAAAUUUAAAAAUUAAAAGCAAAUUAAUUGUUACAUCAGUCCUCUGUCUUCCACAUUUUUUAUCUUUUAGUUCUAAAAUCAAGUUAUGUCAUUUUGCUUCCAUCUUUAAUAAAUAUUUUACACUUAUAUCUUCCAUUUCACUUGCAUUUAUACAUUAUAUAUUUAAUGUUAAUUGUGCACUUUAUUUUAAUGUUUUAUAUUUAUUCAUACUUGUAUAAUUUUUAUUUAUGCUUAUUUCGUUUUUAUUUAUUUUCAUGUCUAUUUAUAUUUAUUUAUUUUUACGCAUUCCCCUUACAUAUAUUUUAAUAUUAUUUAUUUAUGUUACUUUGAUUCUUUUAUUGUAUUAUGAAUAAGGUGUAUUAUUGUUAUUAUUAUUAUCAUCAUGUUAAGGUCUUAUUUAUUUCAUUUAUUUAAUUUUUUUUAUUAUCAUUUUGAAAGAGUUUUAACUUUUCAUUAACUUUUGCCAAUUUAAUUAAUUUUCCUAUUUUAUUACUAUUCGUUUUAAAAGAGAGAAUUUUAGGUCAUUUUUCCAUCCUAUAAUUGUUAACAUGAAGUUAGUUAAGUAGGUGUUAUAUUUUAAUGAAACCAUAAGGUUUUUACAUUUGGAUUUAGGUUAGUCCUUAAGAUCUUACCUACCAUUUUACCUUAGAAAAAUUAUAAAUAAUAUGUAAGAUAUUAUUUUAGGUUUUUAAAUUAGUUUUAAAUAUCGUAUAGGAUUAGAAUCUUAAGUUAAUAUGUAAAUAUUUUUUAUGACUUUAUUCAAGAUUAAAACUAAAGAUUUUUGUAGGUGAAUUGUAAAUCAUGAGUAGGUCUUUCUAAAUAUUUUAUUUUAGAAACUUUUUUAAGAAAGCUAAUAAAUGUUAUUUAAGAUUUAUUAUUUUAGGUUUUUGACGAAUUUAAAUCUUAGAUCAAGAACUUUAAAGUAAGAUAAAUCAUAAACCCGACAUAGGAUACUUUCGUAAGAUCUUGAUAGGUUCAGCGUUAUUAAUUAAAUCUUUUAAAAAUAAUAAUAAUAAUAAAAGAUCGAAUAAGUUGUAGAUGUAUUUUAAUAUUUUUCUUAAUUCAUUGGUAAUUUCUAGGGUUUUUUAGAAUUCUAAAAUAGAAUUAAUUUUAGGAAUUGAAGGCAUUUUACUAAAAUUAUUUAGGUAUCCUUUAGGGCUCUCGUUAAAAGUAAAAAUCACUAAUUUAAGUUUCAAAUUAGAUAAGUCUGGUGAACACAUCUUAAUCGAACUACAAGUAAACCGGAGGCGCUUCCUUUAGAGUUUUUAUUUAAGAUUUCCAUAAGAUUUUAACUUAGAUUAAGAAAUUAAUAUGCUUAAAUAAAAAAUCUAGCUCUUAAGAUCCCGUAGGACUAUCCCGGAUAGGCGUUGCUAUAACCUUCCCCACACGUAACCGUACUCCCAAACCCAGUAUUUGGUAAUGAGAUCGAGUCUAGAUUGUUAGGAUUUUUCCGUAAUAUUAAUUCUAGAUUUUUAGACAAUAGGUGGCUAACCAACCUAGCCCUAAUUUAGUGGCGACUCUACGUAAUUUAGUCCCUUCGUGUCUAGCUUUGCUUACUAGGUCUCCGUACUCUUAUGUAGGCAACGUUAUGACAAUAAAAAUUUAAUUUAAUUUAAUAUUAAAAUAAUCACUUUAAUAUUAAAUUAAUAGAAUACUAUCAAGAUAAGUAUUAAAUUUAAUUUAAUAUUAAAUUUAUUAAAAUAAUAUUAUUUUUGGAAUAGUUAAUCUGAAAUCAAAUUAUUUGGUAGAGUCCCAGUAGAAGUGCGAUUCCUCCAUUGCUCAAUCACUGAAGAACCACCCGCCAACCAUCAGAAUGUCAUCGUUGUAGUCGUCGACACUGUCGUGUCUGAUGGUGCCAUCGCAGGUGCGACACCCUCACGACACCCCAAGCUAGUUCUGUUCGAGCUAGUGAUGGCCCGGCCGAUUCGAUCCUGCCACCGAUUGGACCGUCAGCUCGAUUUCACAUACUAGGCUUGAUUCGACCAGUUUUUGGGUCUCAGCCUCAAUUUUGGAUUCUCGAGCCCAAUUUUCAAGUUUAGUUACCUAUUUGAUCAGUUUUCUGACUUGAAAAUUAAUUUCCAAAAACAUCGUGUUAAUUUUAAUUUAUUUGAUUAAUUUAAUUUUACUUGAUCAAAAUUAAUUUUCUCAAAAAUCACUUAGAUUUUCCAAGAUAAUUCUUUCACUAAAUUCUGUAGUUGAACCAUUCUCACAAUCGCCUAAUUUAAUUUAACAUUGAAUAAAUCGACUCAAUUAAAUUAAUUCCAAAGUCGUAGUGUAACAGCCCAAUUUUCAGUAGUGUCAGAACAGUGAUUUGAGAUCACUAAAUUCGAUGAAAAAGUUAGAAAAAAUUAUUAAUUAAUAAUUAUAAGUUAAGCGUGAUUUUAGAAAUAUUUUUGAAUUACUGAAUUUUGUGAUUUAAAAGAAAUUAUUAGGUAAAUCGGGUCGAAAACGAGGUAUCGAGACCUCGAUAUUAUUAACUGAGCCGUAAAUAUAUAAAAAUAUUUACGGAGUGCCAUUAGGGUAGUAUUAAAGUUUCGUUAAGAAAUUUUAACGUUUCGGUGGAUAAUUGAUUAAAAAGGAUAAAAUUGAAAAAAAAUUCCCGAGACUCCAUUUCAGUAAAUUGGACUCGUAAAUAUUUAUCAUAAAUAUUACGAAGUUGGUUGUGUAGUUAAUCAAGUUUUAAUUAAGUAAAUUUGUCUAAAUUAAGGUUAAUUAUGAAAAAGGAUUAUAUUGUAAUAGAGAUAAAAGUUUAAUUAAAGAUUAAAGAAAAGUUAAAAGGACCAAAUAGACAAUUAUGCCUUUUUCUAAAGUUGAGACGGCAUAACUAAAGAAAUAUUGAGAUAUUUUUGUUAAUAUAUAUUAUAUUUAUUUACUUAAUAAAUAAGUAUUAUAUUAAUUAUAUUAUUAUAAUAUUAUAUUAUAUAUAUAUAUAAAAAAACAAAUAGAAAAGAAGGAAAGAAACAGAAUUGAAAAACGCAACAGAGAAGGAGAAAGGAAAGAAAGAAAAGGGAAUUUUGGGGUUUUGAAGUUCCAAGCUCAAUUGGUAAGUCAAUUUAAUCUCAUUUCUUGUAAUUUUUGAAUUUUUGGAGUUCUAGAACAAAAUAUGUCAUGAUUUAUGUUAAAAUUUUGAAAGAUAGUUGAUUUUUAGACAUGAGUUAUGUUGAAUUAAUUGAUGAAAUAGGGGUUAAAUUGAUUGAAUUUCAAGUUAGAAGUUAGUAAAAGGUUGAUUUGUAAAAUAAAACAUAAGUUUUGAAUUAAUAGGGACUAAAUUGAGAGAAUUUCAAAAUUAGGAAUUUAUGGUGAAGUUAGAGAGUUAAAUUAGUUUAAAGUGGGAAUGGAAUGAAAAUAUGAAAUUAGUUUUGAGAAUAAAAGUUAGUCUCGGUUUAGGGACUAAAUUGAAAUUUAGGCAAAUAUUAAGUAAAAAUUUAAAUAUUUAAAGUGAGAUUGAAUUGUGUUGUAUUGAUGAUUUUUAAUUGUUUUAAUUUCGUAGCUAACGUUGUACCGGAAUUCUCGACUAAAAAGGGAAAAAAAAAUAGUCGACGAGGAAUAGCUCGGAAUUCCUGGUUUGUAUUUCUAUGAUCCGAAUCUAAUUAUUAAUUUUUGUAUUUUGAUUAAA
rnacentral:lncRNA from 1 species